UGAGAGUGAGGGACCCUCCUCCUGCUUAGAAACGCAAGGGCGGCACCUGCUCAAGGGUGACUCUGUCCAUCCAGCCAGGCCUAGGAGGAAGGGACAGAUUCACAGGCGGUUGUGGAAGGGAGUGGCUGGGAGAAGAAUUGCCGCAUCCCUGAGAACGCACAUCUCACCGGGACUAGUGUGUGCGGCCUCGCCCCAGCCCGUCUCCUCUGCACAGACUUCUCUCUCCCAGCUAGCAGAUGCGGAGACGAGCCUGCCAGGGCUGGCCGCUGAGUGAGAGCCGGGCGCGCUGGCCCCAGAGAUGUGGGUCUCCAGGUGGGAUUUUUUCCAGAGAGGGAGGGACAGGUCUGGAGGAGACUCACCUCUCUCUCCACUCCCACCUGUCCACCCACAGCCACCCCCCACGAGGUGACAGCUCACGCAGCCGUGGCCCAGGGGGGAGAGGAGGCGAGUGGCCACGAAGCCUGUUGCCAGGGGAGUGGCCCUGCUGUUGCGAGGAAGGGCCCGCUAGUGACCGGGCGCAGGGGAGUGGGUGCGGCGGUGAGCACCCAGUCCUCCAAAAUGCCGACUGCCCUCUUCCCCCGGCCUCAGUUUACCCAUCCAUAAAUGGAAGGAUGGAGUCUAUAAGCACAAGGUCCCUCCCAGGCCUGGUGCUCUGGGGCGGGGCUGUGGGGUCCCGGGGCAUGGCCAGGUGAGCUAUAGCCUUGGGGAGGGUGGCCAUGGGUGGAGAGGCCCAGGGGCAUGGCCAGGUGAGCUGUAGCCUUGGUGAGGGUGGCCGUGGGUGGAGAGGCCCGGGGGCAUGGCCAGGUGAGCUGUAGCCUUGGGGAGGGUGGCCGUGGGUGGAGAGGCCCGGGGGCAUGGCCAGGUAAGCUGUAGCCUUGGCGAGGGUGGCCGUGGGUGGAGAGGCCCGGGGCAGCCCCCAGCCCUCCCUGCUGUGGAGCAGGAAAGGCCUCCUCUCACUUUCCGAAUCCUGUCUCGAGCUCUAGAGGGGCAGCUUGGCAGAGAGGCAGGUGUGCCCCUCCAGCGGUCCCCUCCGCGGCCAUCCAACCUUGGGGUGACACGCGCCGCACCACACCUGGGUCUCUUCCCUGUGAGGUGGCGUUGAGAGCAGCGCCCACCCCCAGUGGCUGGAGGACUCAGUGGGGUGCGACAAGGCACCCGAGUGCCGGUCUCUGUGCCGCAGGCGCAGCGGCGAACGCACAUGACCAACGUCCCUGCCGGUCGGGGGCCACCUCACAGACCGGGCAGCGGGACAAAUGCACACGGAGAAAAGGAACGGCAUCGGGGACGCUGCCGGGGGAGCCCGUGCGGACGGAGCAGGGCAUGCGUGUGCCUCCUCGCCCUGUGUGAGCCGGCAGAGCCCCGCCCUGCGUCAGCGGGGCCCUUCUUGCAGGCCAGGCCGCGGGGAAGAACGAACGAGACGCACCAUCAGCUCCCUGCGCACUCACCGCGCGCCGCCCUCCCGACACCUUGCACUUGCGCUUCCCUCGACCCCGAGGGAAACCAGCCAUGUGUAGCCUCCACCACAGCUCCGCAGAAGAGGCGGCUCAGGCCCCGGAGAGGGCGUCAUCCCCAGGGCCACUCGGGAAGUGGGCCCGUCCUUCUCUCUGGAGCCCGUGAGUGUCGCCACGCUGCAUUCUUCCCCGGGAUGGCGGGCGCAGACAGCGCUGCGGGCCUGGAUGGCCGGUACCGCCGGCUUCAGCCGCCUGCAGAGAGCCUGGGGGGAAGCUGGCCGUACGGGUGGCACCUUAGGCAUGAGCCUCAGGCCGCCCCCUCCGCCCCACCUGCCUGCCCACCUCAAGCAGCCCUGCGGAGCGGGGAUCUGCGCGGCGAGGAGCUCGGCCCCUGCCACCCGCCGGCAGCAGCUGGCCAGCCCCUGGGAACAACGCGUCCUCCGCUCCGUCACGGCCCAGGCCACCGCAGCGCUGGCCGAAGGACGUCUUCACUGCAACCUCUAGAGAGGCCCUGAGCCAGGGGCCCGGCCACGCCAUCCUGAGUGCCCUGCCCCGAGCAGCCGCACGCGGGCUCUGCGGGACGGCUCCACGGUUGCCACCGCAGGCCACGCCACACGCACCACACCCCGUGAAGCACGGCAUUGCACACGGACGUGGCCACACUGAGGCACUCAUGAUGCACCUGCCUCCGUCACACACAGAGCGCAGGACGCCUGAGCCACGGAAACUGUGCCGACGUAAAUGCAUGUUGUUGCUUUCGCUCUGAUGUCUGGGGACCGCUUGUUGCGCGGCAAUAGAUAACGAGUACAGAUGUGCCCUCUGCCCUCUGUGACCGGGGUUUAGAGGAAAGGAGAGUGCGGGGGGAGAUGGCAGCACGGGCAGUGUGUGGUCAGAAGCCAACCUGGGGGCAUCACAAGCUUCUCCAAGGCCAGGGGACAGAGCACCUGCUCCCCUUCCUCCCAGAGGCUGGGAGGCCGCGGGUGGGACGUUCUCCUGCAAAGCAGACCACGUUCUCUGCUCAGAUGUGAGGGCUGUUAUUAAAAGGAAACGUCUAUUCCAGCCCAGGCUCUGCCGCCGGGGACGGGCGAGCAGCCGCCCCUGCCCACCUGUCAUGGGCACUGCCCAGUGUCAGGCUCUGCAGGUGCAUGCCGGCCUGGCACUCGGCGCCACAAAGCCCGAGCGUUACAGGAAGGGCCCCUCUACUGGUUUUAAGAGGAGAGGGACAAGGGCUCCUGCGCUCUCCUGACGGCAGCUGCUCUCUGAUUUUCACACAUAAUGGAGCAGGAAAUUGCCCGUGGUGGAUGAGCGAGACCUGCUACCUGUGGGUGGAAAUGGGUAAUGAGAACUUAAAUCCAGGCGCGGCUCCGGAUCGCAUCAGGGAGUCAGCUUGCAAGAAUGAUCAGGAGGGUUUUAAUAUCCACUGAUUAGAUGGACGCCCGGCUCCUGCGGUGACCUUGGACGCGUCAACCCCGCGGCCCUGCGCCGGCGGCGAUCGGCCGUGUAUGCCGGUGCAGCGGCCUCUGCCCCAGACCUCGCACAGGACCUUCCAGAACCCAGAGAUUUGAAAUGAUUAGACUCCUGCUUGGUGUGGUGCAGCCAGUCCCCCGAGUGGAGCCUGCAUAAUCCUUCCAGCCUUGCCUCAGCCAAGAGCUCCAACCUCCCUGAGCCUGCUGGGAAAGUGGGUCGAGGGGCCCAACCCUGAGCCAGCACCCGCUGCCUUCCCUCCCUCCAGUGCAGGAAGUCUCCCUUAGCCCCUGCUUUCAGCGUCCUCCUGCUCCAAGACCAGCAGGGACUCCGCCCAGCACCGAAGCUCCCCCAACCCCCGGCCUGCCGACCCCGGCUCACCCAGCACACCCCUCGGUCAAGGUCGGCACUGAGCCCUCACCCCUCAGGCUUGGUUGGUCCCCUUCUUCUCGCCUUGCUCGUACCACUCACCCCGCCUUCCUCACCCCUGCCCCGCGCAGGCUGCCGUCUCGGUCUCCAGCUCAGCCCCUCUCCCUCCCGAAGCGAAGCCAGCCCUGCCAGCUCUGCCUCCUGCCGGUCCCCCCAGCUGGGACCUCCUGCGGCACUCACAGCACCCACCGGCGGCCUCACCCCCACUCCUGCCUGCUGGGGGUCACCCCCUAUUUUACUUGCGUUUUCUGCAGACUGACAGGAUCUUUGAGAACCCUCGCAGGGCCUGCGGCCCGCCUUGCUCAGUAUAAAUGUGUAGCAAAUGUU